GCAGAUGAAGUUGGAAGGAAACAGGCUUCAGCACUGGGAUGGUCACAGGCGAUUCAGGCUGUUUUAAAGUCCUGUGGUCGCAGCACCAGAUCUUAGCCUAAUCUUACUACCGCGUGAAGAAUCCAGACUGAUCUGCUUCACUUAAAAUAAGGAAGGAGCACGCUAAGGUGGGCCUGAACAUUAUCUCGUUAAGAUGCUAAUUGAAACUGCCCUAAGUGACCCGGCCUAUCAUCCUUGCCUCAGUAGCUUAAGACAGAAGAAUCUGAAAUCAAGGCUCAUCACCACCAGGUGUUCUUUGAGCACAUGUUUUUUUUAACUGUGCAAAUCUCUGAAGAGGAGGGGCAGAGCCCCUGGGAUCACAUUGGAUGUAGUAAUGACAAACUUUUGUCGUGAGACAACUGGAUCUGCUCCAUCGCAUGAUUCGGCCACAGCCAUUGCCAUCCUCAGGCCCAUAGCAGUGGAGGCAGCCAACCCUGGGCUGAAACCCGAGAUCAUGAACAAAAGUGACUUGCCUCUCCUUGCACAGUUCAUAUCAGGAAUUUUUGUCACAGUGACAUCUAGUUGACAAAUACAAGGACCUAGAAUGGACAUAACCUCAGAGCUUACAGCCAUUGGAAAACAGAGAGCUGAUAGGCUGUCACCAACAUCAGCUCAUGAUUGACUGGAGGUCAGCCUUCAUCAAGUCCACCCAACAAGGGGAGAGUCCUCUUUGGAGACAACUUUACUAUCGACUUUCUGCAUAUAAAUUUGGAUGCAAAAUCUCAGCAGGCUUCAUUCAUCUCAGUUUUGCUGUAGAAACAUCAAGCUCACUCUAAAUUGUGUUUGGAAAUGCAAAUGAUUUUCACAUACAAAGAAUCUUAGAUCUAAGUCUUAGCUGUAUGACAAGGCUAUAUUGAAUACUUACUAGACUUUAACAUCAUUCAUAAAAAUAUAAAUAUUAUUAAAUAAAAUGAAAAUUCCACUAA